rnacentral:rRNA from 1 species
GACGAACGCUGGCGGCGUGCCUAACACAUGCAAGUCGAACGGAGUUGUUCCUUCGGGGACAACUUAGUGGCGAACGGGUGAGUAACGCGUGAGAAACCUGCCUUUCAGUGGGGACAACAGUUGGAAACGACUGCUAAUACCGCAUAAUGUUAUUUGGGGGCAUCCCUGAAUAACCAAAGAUUUAUUGCUGAAAGAUGGUCUCGCGUCUGAUUAGCUAGUUGGUGAGGUAACGGCUCACCAAGGCGACGAUCAGUAGCCGGUCUGAGAGGAUGAACGGCCACAUUGGGACUGAGAUACGGCCCAGACUCCUACGGGAGGCAGCAGUGGGGAAUNUUGGGCAAUGGGCGAAAGCCUGACCCAGCAACGCCGCGUG